rnacentral:rRNA from 1 species
UACGUAGGGUGCGAGCGUUAAUCGGAAUUACUGGGCGUAAAGCGUGCGCAGGCGGCGCGUUAAGACAGGUGUGAAAGCCCCGGGCUUAACCUGGGAAUGGCAUUGGAAACUGGCGGGCUUGAGUGCGGCAGAGGGGGGUGGAAUUCCGCGUGUAGCAGUGAAAUGCGUAGAGAUGUGGAGGAACACCGAUGGCGAAGGCAGCCCCCUGGGUCAAGAUUGACGCUCAUGCACGAAAGCGUGGGGAGCAAACAGGA